rnacentral:rRNA from 2 species
CUGGUCUUGACAUCCACAGAAUUUUUUAGAAAUAAAAAAGUGCCUUCGGGAACUGUGAGACAGGUGCUGCAUGGCUGUCGUCAGCUCGUGUUGUGAAAUGUUGGGUUAAGUCCCGCAACGAGCGCAACCCUUAUCCCCUGUUGCCAGCGGUUCGGCCGGGAACUCAGAGGAGACUGCCGGUGAUAAACCGGAGGAAGGUGGGGACGACGUCAAGUCAUCAUGGCCCUUACGACCAGGGCUACACACGUGCUGCAAUGGUUUAUACAAAGAGAAGCAAAUCUGUAAAGACAAGCAAACCUCAUAAAGUAAAUCGUAGUCCGGACUGGAGUCUGCAACUCGACUCCACGAAGUCGGAAUCGCUAGUAAUCGUGGAUCAGAAUGCCACGGUGAAUACGUUCCC